ACUCUUCGUUUUACUUCUGCGCUAGGUGGUAUACCCUAAAACUUUAAAAUUCCAUUGGCUAUAUGGAAUUUGCCAUUGACUCGGCAGGGAAACCUCCAACCCAAGUAUUCCGCAAGGGUUGGAGUCUCGGACUCUGGUACGCCACACGACCAUAGCUAGCAUAAAAUAAUAUACUCGGAUCGGCAAAUCACGAUUUUAGGCUAAGAGUUACUUGAACUAAAGCCCUCUUCGGG
rnacentral:lncRNA from 1 species